rnacentral:tRNA from 4 species
CACUAAGAAGCUAACUUUAGCAUCAGCCUUUUAAGCUGAAGAAGGGUGAAUAUGUUCUCCCUUAGUGA